rnacentral:rRNA from 1 species
UACGGAGGGUGCAAGCGUUAUCCGGAUUCACUGGGUUUAAAGGGUGCGUAGGUGGAAUGGUAAGUCAGUGGUGAAAUCUCCAAGCUUAACUUGGAAACUGCCGUUGAUACUAUCAUUCUUGAAUAUCGUGGAGGUAAGCGGAAUAUGUCAUGUAGCGGUGAAACGCUUAGAUAUGACAUAGAACACCGAUUGCGAAGGCAGCUUGCUACACGAUCAUUGACACUGAGGCACGAAAGCGUGGGGAUCAAACAGG